UUCCCUGCGCCAUGCCUCUCCUUCUCCUCCUCUGACCGCCUCCUGCUUCUUCCUUCUUGGAGGGAACUUAUCAUGAAGACUACGCGGAAAUGUCGCGCGCUGCUGUCCGUGGGUCUGAACCUGGUGGCUCUGUUUUUCUCCACCACCGCCUUCAUCACCACGUACUGGUGCGAGGGCACCCAGCGCGUGCCCAAGCCCAACUGUAGCAAGCAGCGGCGCCACAACUGCAUCGACUACGGCGUGAACGAGACUGACCAGAACAAGGUGCACUACAGCUGGGAGACCGGGGACGACCGCUUCCUCUUCCGCCGCUUCCACACCGGCAUCUGGUACUCCUGCGAGGAGAACAUCCACGAGGCAGGUGAGAAGUGUCGUAGCUUCAUUGAUCUGGCCCCGGCGUCAGAGAGAGGUGUGUUGUGGUUGUCGGUGGUGUCGGAGGUGCUCUACAUCCUGCUGCUGGUGGUCGGCUUCAGUCUGAUGUGCCUCGAGCUUUUCCACUCCAGCAACGUCAUCGACGGACUCAAACUCAACGCCUUCGCCGCCGUCUUCACCGUGCUGUCCGGUCUCCUGGGUAUGGUGGCCCACAUGAUGUACACGCAGGUGUUCCAGAUCACAGUCAGUCUGGGUCCUGAAGACUGGAGGCCUCACAGCUGGGACUACGGCUGGUCCUUCUGCAUGGCCUGGGGCUCCUUCACCUGCUGCAUGGCUGCAUCCGUCACCACCCUCAACUCCUACACCAAGACGGUGAUCGAGUUCAGACACAAGCGCAAGCUGUUCGAGCAGGGCCUGCGCGAGGAGCAGAACUACCUGGACCAGGAAGCGUUCCACUACUUCCGGGAUCGCUCGCUGCAGUCUAUCUCCAGCUCUGUGGAGGUGUACCCCGGCCACGGCGGGGCCAGAGGCGGGCUCGUCGUCGGGGGCCCGUGUGCCGGUCUCGGUCCGGGGCCGGGUCCGGGUCCCGGACGGGGCAAGAUGAGAGCCCCGUCAGCCUCCAUAGACCUGGGGGAGAACACAGACUCGCUGGGGGAGGAGCAGUGCUGAGAUGUGCUCCGGGUUCUGCCACCAAACACGAACGCACAGAAGCUCUUAUUUCCUGUUAUCUUAAGGACGAGUCUGAAUAUAUAAAUAUAAAUAUAUUAGACAGAUGUGUUCUUUAUAUAUUCAAUGAGAAUCAAUAUUAAGUGGGAGAGAUCUUUGACUUUCAGAUCUGGGAAUUAAGAUUCUUUGUGCACAGAAAGCGGGUGUUCGUCAGCAUAUAGAGGCGCCGCGUGUCGUGUUUUAACAUCCAUAUAAUUCAUUUAUAUAAAUUAAAGUAGGGCAGUGUAACGCGUGGACACUAAUACACAGAAACAUCUACGUUAGGUUUGCUAACAUUAGCCCCAUAAACUAGUUCUGAACUGAGUUAGUGUUUUAUUGCUUAUGAAUGAAUCAGAAUGUUUAUUUCAUAGAUAUAUUUUAGACGGUGCAGAUUUCACUAUGAAAGUUACAAAGACGACAUUAGGGGAGAAGUUGGUGCAAGAAAAACAUAUUGGGAACUGUAGUUUUUUAACGCAAUUAAAUUGUAGUUUGACUUUGUUAAAGAGACAGUUCACCCAAAUCAAAAAUACAUAUGUUUUCCUCUGACCCGUAGAGAUGUAGGAAAGUCUCCUUCCAGAUAUCUCGACAUGGUUACUGAAGAUAAUCCGCACGCUGUGUUGGGAGCAGUUUCAUGCCGGAACUAUUUUCUUUCUACCGAACUACACCCGCCAGCCGAAUCACAGCGCAGAAGGAAACUGAAGAAAUAUGUAUUUUAGAUUUUAGGGUGAACCGUCUUUUUAAAGUCAACGUCAGACUUCUGCGCUCGUAUAAGUUUUCUUUUUCAAACCAGCAUGUUGUUGCAUCUGAAGGUUCUUACUGAGGUUUUACAGUCCAGAUAACGUUUCUCCUCCUCUUCAGAUCCAACACAGACGGAGUCAGAGGAAGCAGCAUCGUCUGCCUCCGGACAAACACACAAUACCACACAUAGCACUUUUAAACAGGUCGUGUCCAGGCCGGGCCCAAUGUGUGACGCUGAAUGUGAAUCACAGUGUUAAAGCUACGUCUGUUCCUUUGUGUCCAUCCUGUGUUUGAGCUUCUUCAUCCUCAGAGGCUUCAGAUUUCAUUCUGUCCUCUAAUAGUUUAUGAGUUGUACGAUGAUAACAUCAAAGCAUCGGUCAGAGCGUCUUUGAUCAGAUGACUUGAGACUGGACUUGGACUUCAACACCGAUGACUCGUGACUUCACUUACGUGAUACUUUCCCCGAAGCCCGAAGAUUAAGAAGUACGUUACAUAAAAAGCCACGAAUGAAUUAUUUUCUGACACAACGGUCAUUUAUUUAAUUCAUACAGUACAUUUCUGUCAGUGUACCAGGUCGGCCAUCUUGGUUUAUUUUCAGCUGUAGUUUCUGAUCAGGUGUGAAGACGAACGAAGAAGAACCACGAAGAAGUAACGUUACUGAGCACCAGUUGGAAAACAUGAUACCAAAGAUCAUUUAGUUUGUGUAAUAAAACUAUGCAAGAAUAAACAAAUAGCAAUGUGUGAAAUUGGUGCAGAGCGCAUUAUGACAUAAACACUCAAAGAUUAGGAAAUAAUAUUUAAUUGACAUGAUAAAAUCCUCAUCAGGCAUCACGUCCACAUCUGGACCGCCGUUCAUCUUACUCGUGUCUUUAAUUUAGAGAAACAUUGUUGACACGUCUCUUACUUCUUUUAGAAGCCGUUCCUCCGUCACGCCGAGUCACUCGUCCGUCUGCAGUUUGAAGUUCUCUUUGAGGACAUUUUUGUUAAUUACACUUUCCCACAAACGGAGCAAUUAGAGGGCAUCGAGCACGUUAAUGAUCAAACGGCACAAAUGUGCACCUGUUCGGGAACAGGUGGGAUCCAUCAGGCUGCAGGUGUGACAGCUUGUGCAGUCAGAGAGUUUGAUGGAUCCGACUGUGAACACAGAGAGGACAAUAAAUUAACAAAAAAGGAUCUUUUAUGAGAUAAAUUGUCUUUAUUUAUAGUGUUUGUAUAUUUAAAAGUAGUUCAAACAAGCCAGGAACAAUCCUUUCACAUGCAGUACUUUACAGUUUUGAACGGGCUUCAGGCAAAUAUUGACACCUUGCACCGGAGCACGAAGCCGCUUCACUCUUCAGCUUCAUGCUUUUCCAUAUUACUUCUGUCUGCUGGCAGAGCUCUGGGUUAUACUUUGGGUUUCUUUGGCCACACACAUGACUGACGGCUCCACCGCCCGGAGGUCAGCGGGUCGAGCCUCUCAGAAAGUUAAUGUUCUCCGUCGGCUCGGUGUCCUCGGUGAAGCUGCUGCAGGGAACCGUUGACCUCUGACCUCUCUGAAAGCGAGCUGCAGAAAUGUGCUGUGUGAGUCUCAGGGGGACGUGCACCCAGCAAACACAUCCCCAUAAUAUCUCACAUCCAGAUUACUCUUACAACUAUAAAGUGAAUAUGUAAAAGUAUGUAUCUUAUCUUUGUACAUUUCGUCCAAGUGUUUGGACGAAAUGUACAAAGAUAAGAUAAAUGUGAAUAUACUAAAUGAAAGAGACAACAAAUCCUAAUCUAAGAGUAGGAACAUAACGUAAUGUAUUAAUUCAGAACAAAGCUGCACUACCUCAAUGAUAUUUAAGCUUAACAAACACCCCGACAUCGGGCUCAGUCUGCAGGUCAGGCCAGACAUGCAUGUUGGAUAUUAUAAUUCAGACUAUAAUCUUAUAUUUCAAUUGCUGUUGCAUUUCUUUCCCCUGAACGCACCUGGAUUAUAAUCUCCUGAGGAGUUAGAAGUGGUUGCAGUACAGAGGAAACAGAGCGCAGACCUCUGCCAAUGUUAACAAAAGUGAAAAAUACUUUGUGCGUCGGCUCCAAAAUGUAAAGUCGUCUUCCUCGGCCCGUGCUUCACCCUUCCCCCGAGUUUCAUGAAGAUCGGGCCAGAAGUUUUUCCAUAAUCUGAAUCAUAACGACCUUGUGGAGUCGGGUCGCUCAGUUCCUGCAGUGGAAAAGACCUGAAUGUUCAAACUGGGCUAAUUCUAAAAAGAAAGAGGAUUGUAAUUACUAAUUACCUGCUGAAAUUAAAGUAAUUUAAAUGUAAUGAAAAAGUUUAUGUGUGGGAAACAUCCGCCGGGGUUAAAUGAACAAAUAAGAGAUAAAGGAAAUUAUGUUUCACGACUUGAUUAAGAUUGGACGACGGCGUAUUAAGGCCAUUGUAGGUGAGAAAAAACAAUUAUCUGAGAUUAAAGUGGUAAAUUUAAGAGAAGAAAUCACAAAUCUACGGGAGAAAAACGUGAAUAUUCUCUAAUUAUUAAACCAUAAAUUAGCAAGUACAAAAAUCUAAAAUUCUCUGAUAUUAGAGCAACAAAUUUACAAGAAAAUACUUUUUAUUUUGAAGGAUCAACCUCAUCAGAGAAUUCCAUGUAUGCAUUUAUAUCAUAUAGAAUAUUAGAGUGUUUUCUUUUACAUUUAGAAAAUUAAUCUUGGAAAAGUAUUUUUAUUUUUUAUUUCUU